UAUAUACGUCGAAUUUUGGUCGCGUCGAAUGCAAUUCAAUUUGUGCAAUUCAAUUAUCUAUUGUUUGAAUUGCAUUCGACGCGACCAAAAUUCGACGAACAAA